rnacentral:rRNA from 1 species
UACGAAGGGGGCUAGCGUUGCUCGGAAUCACUGGGCGUAAAGGGUGCGUAGGCGGAUCUUUAAGUCAGGGGUGAAAUCCUGGAGCUCAACUCCAGAACUGCCUUUGAUACUGAGGAUCUCGAGUUCGGGAGAGGCGAGUGGAACUGCGAGUGUAGAGGUGAAAUUCGUAGAUAUUCGCAAGAACACCAGUGGCGAAGGCGGCUCACUGGCCCGAUACUGACGCUGAGGCACGAAAGCGUGGGGAGCAAACCGG